UACGUAGGAGGCGAGCGUUGUCCGGAGUUACUGGGCGUAAAGGGUGCGCAGGCGGCGGUUCGCGUGGAUAGAUGAAAUCUCCUGGCUUACCUGGGAGGAUGGUAUCCAGACGGGAUCGCUUGAGGGUCGGAGAGGGGCGUGGAAUUCCGGGUGGAGCGGUGAAAUGCGUAGAGAUCCGGAGGAACACCGACGGCGUAGGCGGGUCUCUGGGCAGUAACUGACGCUGAGGAGCGAAAGCGUGGGGAGCGAACAGG
rnacentral:rRNA from 1 species